UACGGAGGGUGCGAGCGUUGUCCGGAAUCAUUGGGCGUAAAGAGCUCGUAGGUGGUUUGUCGCGUUGUCCGUGAAAUUCCCUGGCUUAACUGGGGGCGUGCGGGCGAUACGGGCAGACUGGAGUACUGCAGGGGAGACUGGAAUUCCUAGUGUAGCGGUGAAAUGCGUAGAUAUUGGGAAGAACACCGGUGGCGAAGGCGGCUCACUGGCUCGUAACUGACGCUCAGGCGCGACAGCGUGGGGAUCAAACAGG
rnacentral:rRNA from 1 species